ensembl:piRNA 21ur-919 ncRNA
AUGAAGUUUUCAACCUACAUA